rnacentral:rRNA from 1 species
UGGGCAAUCUGCCCUGCACUCUGGGACAAGCCCUGGAAACGGGGUCUAAUACCGGAUACUGACCCGCUUGGGCAUCCAAGCGGUUCGAAAGCUCCGGCGGUGCAGGAUGAGCCCGCGGCCUAUCAGCUUGUUGGUGAGGUAAUGGCUCACCAAGGCGACGACGGGUAGCCGGCCUGAGAGGGCGACCGGCCACACUGGGACUGAGACACGGCCCAGACUCCUACGGGAGGCAGCAGUGGGGAAUAUUGCACAAUGGGCGAAAGCCUGAUGCAGCGACGCCGCGUGAGGGAUGACGGCCUUCGGGUUGUAAACCUCUUUCAGCAGGGAAGAAGCGAAAGUGACGGUACCUGCAGAAGAAGCGCCGGCUAACUACGUGCCAGCAGCCGCGGUAAUACGUAGGGCGCGAGCGUUGUCCGGAAUUAUUGGGCGUAAAGAGCUCGUAGGCGGCUUGUCACGUCGGUUGUGAAAGCCCGGGGCUUAACCCCGGGUCUGCAGUCGAUACGGGCAGGCUAGAGUUCGGUAGGGGAGAUCGGAAUUCCUGGUGUAGCGGUGAAAUGCGCAGAUAUCAGGAGGAACACCGGUGGCGAAGGCGGAUCUCUGGGCCGAUACUGACGCUGAGGAGCGAAAGCGUGGGGAGCGAACAGGAUUAGAUACCCUGGUAGUCCACGCCGUAAACGGUGGGCACUAGGUGUGGGCGACAUUCCACGUCGUCCGUGCCGCAGCUA